GGUGUUCUUUUCAACAUGUGAUGCUGUAGAUUUUCAUUAUUCAUUGGUGAGUGGAUUUCAGUGGCUCUCUCGUCAGCAAUCAGAUACAGAUGUCAAACAGCUGUUUUUGAAAUGCAACACAUUUCGGUUACAUGGGAAUAUGAAUCACGAAGACAGAAGAACUACAUUCCAUGCUUUUAAAACAGAAAAAUCAGCACUUCUGCUAUCCACUGAUGUUGCUGCUAGGGGCUUGGACUUUCCAAAAGUUAGGUGUAUUAUACAGUAUGAUCCUCCAGGAGAGGCAACUGAAUAUGUGCAUCGGGUAGGAAGAACCGCUCGUAUAGGUGAAAAGGGAGAUUCCUUAUUGUUCCUACAGCCAGUUGAAACUGAUUACUUGCCUGGCUUAGAGAAACACGGGGUGACGCUAACAGAGUAUCCCCUUCAGAAACUUUUGGAUAGCUUUCCGUUGUUUGGUAUCAGGUACCACCCGAAGAAUUUUGUUUCAGUAGACACACAUCCCUGGGUUGUUUCUCUGCAGAAAGCAUUGGAAUCCUUUACUUCAUCAGAGUUAAAGAUGAAGAAAAUAGCACAGAAUGCAUUUUGCUCAUGGGUUCGUGCUUACACUGCCCAUCGUGGUGAACUUAAAGGAAUUUUUAUGGUGAAGAAACUUCACUUGGGGCAUGUGGCAAGAAGUUUUGCAUUGAAGGAGCAGCCGUCAUUGGUUAAUAAAUCCCUCCAAAAACAAACAAAGAAAAGGAUGAGAGACCAGAAACAGACAAACGUAUCAAAAAAGAGAAAAGUCGGAAAAAGAUGAUGUGUAACAUUUGUUAUCAGAUGAGCUUGUCAAAUUGGAUUCAAUGAUAUGUACACAAGCAUUUCUGUCUAGCAUGUCCAACUGUCCUGCGUCUCUACCAAUGGUGCAUGUCCUCUGAUGAGCUCUGAUAUAAUCAGGUUUUGUGGAGGGAUUAAAGGUAGUACUAUUUGCUGACCUUGAGAUUGUGCUAGCAGCUUGCAAACAUAUGCUCCAUCUGGUGAGAAUGUAUCAGUUCUAACUAUAAGCAGGGGGCAUAUUAUUAGCAUUUUGAUUAUGCCACCAAAAGUUUUGUAUACUCUAGGAAUCCCUGUACCCAAAAUAUUUAAUACCUUCUAAAGUACAUUUUAAGCAGUUAUAUGUUCUGUAUUUACUAGGUGUGAGCAUGGUUUGUGUCCCUUUGUUGCCUAAAACCAAAAUGAGACCGAGACAUGACACAACUUUAACUUACCGAGGACUAAGGAGCGUUUGGAGGUCACAGAUUAGAUCAGAAAUGACUCGCUUUUUGGUGGGUUUAGGCUUGGUGGGUGGGCGUUUUGUCUGUAUACCUGUAUUGUAUUUUCAG
rnacentral:misc_RNA from 1 species